GACGUAGGAGGCGAGCGUUGUCCGGAUUCAUUGGGCGUAAAGAGCGCGCAGGCGGCUUGGUAAGUCGGAUGUGAAAUCCCGAGGCUCAACCUCGGGUCUGCAUCCGAUACUGCCCGGCUAGAGGUGGGUAGGGGAGAUCGGAAUUCCUGGUGUAGCGGUGAAAUGCGCAGAUAUCAGGAAGAACACCCGUGGCGAAGGCGGCUCUCUGGGACGGUACUGACGCUGAGACGCGAAAGCGUGGGGAGCGAACAGG
rnacentral:rRNA from 1 species